ACGAACUUUGUAAUUGCGAAAAAAGUCCCAACAAAAAGCGAGAUAGAGCGAGCGAGGCGAUUGAAUGGCCGGAACUACGUUGAGACCGUCGCUGGCGCCGGGCGGGUUGGCCGGGACGAAUUUACCGUCUCCCUCUUCUGUCAACUCUUACCGAGUUUCCGCUGUGGUCGAGCGAUUGGCCGGGCACACCCUACUCGGAAAUCGUAGCGACGCCAUUGAAUUCUUCAAACUCUGCUUAUCUCUCGCCAGAGGUAUUGAUUAUGCAGUUGCAAACAAUGAGGUUCCGCACAAAGCUCAAGAUCUGCCUAUAUUGUUGAAGCAGGUGUGCCAGCGUAAAAAAGAUAACUUCUUACAGGCAGCUAUCAUGGUGCUUAUGCUCUCUGUGAAGAAUGCAUGUAAGAUUGGGUGGUUUUCAGAAAAGGAGUCUGAAGAACUUAUCAUUCUUGCAAAUGAGAUAGGGAGCAGCUUCUGCAUUUUGGGAAAUAUUAACACGGGACCUAGUAAUUCUGCUUCCACUAUAAAACAAAUAAUGGAGAGGUUCUACCCACGAAUGAGGAUGGGGCAAAUACUUGCUUCCCUUGAAGUCAAGCCUGGAUAUGGGGCAUACGUGAUUGAUUUCCAAAUUUUAAAGACUACGGCACAUUCUCCCCAGGAAAAAAUUCGGUUAUUUGUAGCACAGACAGAUAGUAUAGAGACAUCUGCAUGCAUUAUAUGUCCUCCCCAAGUGAGCUUUCUUCUGAAUGGAAAGGGAGUUGACAGAAGGACUACUGUUCUAAUGGAACCUGGACCACAGUUACCAACAAAUGUGACUACAAUGCUGAAAUAUGGAACAAAUCUUCUUCAAGCUGUAGGCCAGUUUAAUGGUCAUUAUAUCAUAGCUGUUGCCUUCAUAAGUGUGAUGUCAUCGCCUGACACCCCAGUGCCACCUGAUUAUGUGCAACCUGCUGUAGCUUCAGUUGACCCAGAUUCUGACAUAAUUGAAGGACCAUCACGGAUAUCACUUCGUUGUCCUAUAAGCUAUACACGCAUAAGGACUCCUGUCAAAGGACUUUCUUGCAAACAUCUUCAAUGUUUCGACUUUGAUAACUUUCUUGAUAUAAAUUCAAGAAGACCAUCCUGGCGCUGCCCGCAUUGUAAUCAGUAUGUCUGCAACAUGGAGAUCCGUAUCGAUCAAAAUAUGGUCAAGGUCCUGAGAGAGGUGGGAGAGAAUGUUGAUGAAGUUAUUAUCUCUGCCGAUGGUUCUUGGAAGGCUAUAGUGGAAAGUGAUGACCAUGUAGAUCAGUCACUCCUUAAGGCCAAUUGCGAGAAAGAAAGGACUGAGUGGCAAGAAUUUAGCAGAGUCUCAAAUUCCCUUCAUAAUGUUUUGGAACUUACAGAGGAUAACAAUGAGAUGGACGCAGCGAGUUAUGGUGAAAUAGAAGACCGGAAACCUUUGCAGGCUAAUCUUCCAGUUGCUUCAAAUUUAGUUUUGCUUACAGAAUCAAACAGAACAAAUGAUGUUAAUCAACUUGUCAAUGAGUUAGAGGAUGAGAUUUGGUCUGGAAUAUAUUCGGGUUCCAUGUCCAUGAACUCCAGCUCUAGGUCAAAUGCCCAAAGAGUUGGUGGCAUCUCUGAAUCCAUCCCUGCCAAUCUAAUGCAGCCUCCUGUGUUGACUGGUGCUGUCUCUCCUGCACUCAAUCAAGAACCGAAUUUCACCACCUCUAUGAUGCGAAGUCAAUGCUCUCCCAAUAAUUUUCAGUUACAACAGUCGCAAUAUGCAAAUUCUGUUGUCAACAAUGAAUAUAGGUUGCCAUCAAUAGCCAGUCAUGUGAGCAGGACCCCAACAGCAAUUCAGGCUCUGCCUGUUCAGCCUCAGGCACAAAAUCCACAGCAAAGACCAAAUUGUGUGAAUUCUUUGACUCCAAAUUGUUCUUCAAUUUCUUCUCAGAACCGGGGUCAUCAAGACCGUUCCUUCAUUUCAGCCUCGAGUCAAUUGCAAAGUGCUUAUAAAGCAUCUUCUGGGCAAUUCAGUAAUUUUCAAAAUCCACACCUGCAGCAAACUUUAAACCCAAGGAUGCCCCAGCCCGUGGGUCAAUAUUCAAGCACUAUCUGGCCAUCUUCACAGCUUGCACAGGGCACCCCGAUCCUGCAAAGGGGUGCACAAGUGGGAAUUAGACAUGCAGCAGGCACUAGCAGUCACCAACAGGCUAGAUGGCUUCCUCACCAAGGUGCUCUUCAGAUGGGUAGACAGGCACCAUCUGUGCCAGCUCUAAAUCAAACGUCCAUGGCUGGGAACUCUAUGCCCAUGACUGCAUAUGGGAGACAAGAGGAAUUAGCAGACCAGAGAGUGAAUAUUAGAGGAAUGCCACAUCCAAGGCCUCAUAGUUUGCCGGACACGACAAUGGAUGAGAAUUGGCGGCCAAGACGUCGAAUGCGUGGUAGCCUGACAGGUGCUUCGUAUGAUGCUCAUAGCCAAUACAUAAUUCAGCCAACCCAAUCAGCACAACCUGUAAGACCACCCGAAAAUCCGAUUCCUUCAGCAUCUAAUCCAGCACACCCGCCGGGGCUUAGUAUCUCAAUCAGAAAUGCUAGCAGUCCUCAAAUACCUAAUGUUUUAAUCCAACGAUAGACCCAAGUUGGAUGAGUGGAGGCCCAAGUAUUCUGCCUGCGCACCUAUAGACAAAUCAACUAGACGCAUCUUGGGGUUUGUUACCUGCGAGUUGCACAAAGGUGGCUCUUUAUAUGUUGGAAUUGAUCUGGUAGUCAUUUUAAAUGGGUCUGUGUUCUGUGACCAACUGGAAGAUAGCCCUAGUUUUAAAUUUGGAGUAUGAACCUGGUGGGAGGAAUACUGAAGACUGGUCUGCUAUGCGAGAGGAUAUGCUGAGUUGGCCAUGCAGAUGCAGCCAGCAGACCUGUCUUUUUAGCUGUCCCAUGAACUUGACGAAUGUUUGGAAUCUACUUCUGGCGGAAGGCCUCAAACUUUGGAUUUUCCAGAUUCAACUCUAUAAGCAAUCAGCAAUGCGGCAAUAACCAGAGCGAUAAAGCAAGCUCAUGGAUAUAUAUAUGUGUGUGUGACAGUGUGUGUGUGUGUGUAUACAACAAAUAUAAUAUAAAUAAAUCUUAUUCGAAAAAGUCUAUGUAAUCAGAUUGUAAAAUUUAUUUUAUUAUAAAGUAUAUGUAAUUAUGUAUUUCAUUAAAUUACGUUAGUAUGUAAACUUCUUGAAUAA